GGAGAGGUGGCUGAGCGGUUGAAAGCGCACGACUCGAAAUCGUGUUUACGGUAACCCGUAACGAGGGUUCGAACCCCUCCCUCUCCG
rnacentral:tRNA from 1 species